UACGUAGGGGGCAAGCGUUGUCCGGAUUUAUUGGGCGUAAAGAGCGUGUAGGCGGCCAUGCAGGUCCGUUGUGAAAACUCGAGGCUCAACCUCGAGACGUCGGUGGAAACCGCAUGGCUAGAGUCCGGAAGAGGAGAGUGGAAUUCCCAGUGUAGUGGUGAAAUGCGUAGAUAUCGGGAGGAACACCAGUGGCGAAGGCGACUUCCUGGCCUGUUCUUGACGCUGAGGCGCGAAAGCUAGGGGAGCAAACGGG
rnacentral:rRNA from 1 species